rnacentral:rRNA from 1 species
UGGGGAAUUUUGCACAAUGGGCGCAAGCCUGAUCCAGCCAUGCCGCGUGAGUGAUGAAGGCCUUAGGGUUGUAAAGCUCUUUCAGUAGGGAAGAUAAUGACGGUACCUACAGAGGAAGCCCCGGCUAACUUCGUG